rnacentral:rRNA from 1 species
AGUCAAUAGAUACCCUGGUAGUCCUAGCCGUAAACGAUACUCGCUAGGUGUCGGCCACGGUGCGACCGUUGUCGGUGCCGUAGGGAAAGCCGUGAAGCGAGCCACCUGGGAAGUACGGCCGCAAGGCUGAAACUUAAAGGAAUUGGCGGGGGAGCACCACAACGGGUGGAGCUUGCGGUUUAAAUUGGAUUCAACGCCGGAAAUCUUACCGGGACCGACAGCAAUAUGAAGGCCAGGCUGAAGACUUUGCCGGAUUAGCUGAGAGGUGGUGCAUGGCCGUCGUCAGUUCGUACUGUGAAGCAUCCUGUUAAGUCAGGCAACGAGCGAGACCCACGCCCACAGUUGCCAGCGUACUCUCUGGAGUGACGGGUACACUGUGGGGACCGCCGCUGCUAAAGCGGAGGAAGGAAUGGGCAACGGUAGGUCAGUAUGCCCCGAAUAUCCCGGGCUACACGCGAGCUACAAUGGUUGGUACAAUGGGUAUCUACCCCGAAAGGGGACGGGAAUCUCCUAAAACCAAUCUUAGUUCGGAUUGAGGGCUGCAACUCGCCCUC